GACGAACGCUGGCGGCGUGCUUAACACAUGCAAGUCGAACGGAAAGGCCCUGCUUUUGUGGGGUGCUCGAGUGGCGAACGGGUGAGUAACACGUGAGUAACCUGCCCUUGACUUUGGGAUAACUUCAGGAAACUGGGGCUAAUACCGGAUAGGAGCUCCUGCUGCAUGGUGGGGGUUGGAAAGUUUCGGCGGUUGGGGAUGGACUCGCGGCUUAUCAGCUUGUUGGUGGGGUAGUGGCUUACCAAGGCCUUGACGGGUAGCCGGCCUGAGAGGGUGACCGGCCACAUUGGGACUGAGAUACGGCCCAGACUCCUACGGGAGGCAGCAGUGGGGAAUAUUGCACAGUGGGCGGAAGCCUGAUGCAGCAACGCCGCGGGCGGGAUGACGGCCUUCGGGUUGUAAACCGCUUUCGCCUGUGACGAAGCGUGAGUGACGGUAAUGGGUAAAGAAGCACCGGCUAACUACGUG
rnacentral:rRNA from 1 species